rnacentral:rRNA from 1 species
AGCAGCCGCGGUAAUUCCAGCUCCAAUAGCGUAUAUUAAAGUUGUUGCAGUUAAAAAGCUCGUAGUUGAAUUUCGGGACCAUCAUGUCGGUCGUGCCUCGGUACGUACUGGCAUUGUUGGUUUCUCCCUUCUGACGAACCAUGAUGUCAUUAAUUUGGUGUCUUGGGGAAUCAGGACUGUUACUUUGAAAAAAUUAGAGUGUUUAAAGCAGGCUCACGCUUGAAUACAUUAGCAUGGAAUAAUGAAAUAGGACGUUUGAUUCUAUUUUGUUGGUUUCUAGGAUCGACGUAAUGAUUAAUAGGGAUAGUUGGGGGCAUUAGUAUUCAAUUGUCAGAGGUGAAAUUCUUGGAUUUAUUGAAGACUAACUACUGCGAAAGCAUUUGCCAAGGAUGUUUUCAUUAAUCAAGAACGAAAGUUAGGGGAUCGAAGACGAUCAGAUACCGUCGUAGUCUUAACCAUAAACUAUGCCGACUAGGGAUCGGAUGAUGUUAAUUUUUUAAUGACUCA